rfam:Hordeum vulgare subsp. vulgare, WGS project CAJW01000000 data, contig: morex_contig_1561924
UAUAUACUACCUCCGCCCUAACAUUAUUGUCUAAGAUAUGUCUAGAUACGGAUGUAUUUAACACUAAAACGUGACUAGAUACAUCCAUAUUUAUACAAAUCUAAGACAAUAAUUUUGAAACGGAGAGAGUAGUAC